rnacentral:lncRNA from 1 species
CUUCUGGGGAGGCUUGGGCUAGGAUGCCCGACCUACUAGAGGCCCACCUAGCAGGUGAGAGAAGCGAGUCCUCUGCAAUUGUUACAGUGGAAGUUAUCCAUUUUUUAAAGGUCUCUGCUCUGUUGCUAAAGGUAAAUAUUCAGAGAAAAACCGGCGUCGGCUACAGCUGUCUUCAGGGAUCUGUGGACCUUCCAGAUAAGAGAGACUUUUCAUCUGCUUCUGCAAGGUACCUGGAGCAGUAGCGAUCUGGCAUUACCUCAAGCCAGUUUCCAUUGAGAUUAUUCAAAUACGGAAUAUUUAUCACCCAAGAUGUCCUCUGCCUAUCACACCAUCUUCUCUUGGUCUCCCAUCUGCCUAGCGAACUCGCACGUUAUCUUUCCAAGCUUAAAGUCAGCUUUAGUGACCUUCCUGGAAAGAAAGAACCACAGCUUCCCUUAAGUUACACCUUCCCAUCUAUAUAGCUCUCUCCCCAUACGCAUCACAGUGGGUCUUAAUUGUUGUUCACGUGUCCCUUUCCCUUAAAAGAGUGAGUGGUGUUUGCCCGGAGGCAUCUUAUCACUAUGAUAUCUAUUUCGAGCAGCCAGCACACAGUAGGUGCUCAAGAAAACACGAG